AUUUUCUCAUACUCACUCCCUAUCUCUAUACGAACUUCAAACGACAAAUGCGUGUACUUGAACAUACAAAUAAAUGCUGUGUAUAUACGUGAGCUACAAAUGUAUCAAUGCAGUAGAUGUGUAUAUACAAUACGAGGAUUUAACACUUAUAGAAUCUUUAAUUAAGGCAAUCGGCUUAAACAUCUCUCUCAGCAGUGAAACUUCACUGUAAGUUUAUUAAUUAAACAGGCCUAAUAAGUAAUCAUUCACAUUUCUCUUUAUAUUCUAUAAUUAAUUGCAGCUAUUUUGUGACAUGUAUUGGUGAAAGAAAGACUAAUAAGUACUAUUCAGAGGUUCAGUAAACUAUUAGAAUGAAUACAGUUAUAACAAAAUUGACACCUCGUUUGAGGAGGAAAAAGACAUCGGCUGCAAGUAAUAUGGAUACGGUCUGUAGUAGAAUAAUAGUAUUUUGUUGUAUAUAUCCUUAAUUGUGAAGUAUAUGUUUUGAUAUAUUUUGCUUAAAGAUAUCUAAUAAAAAUCAAUAAUUCAUAUAAAUCUUAUCAGGAAGUCGACCAACUGUAUAUAUACUUAUAUAUUUAUACAAAUUUAUAGUAUUUAAAGGGAAAAAUAUAUAACACACAAUUAUAUAUAUAUAUAUAUAUAUAUAUAUAUAUAUAUAUAUAUAUAUAUAUACAUUAUAUGUUAGUAUUUACGUUAAUAUUCAGAAUUUAUUUUAUUUGGUUAAAUUAAAAUACUCCUUUGUUCAGCAACCUACUAGCUUAGGCUGCUUUACCUUUCUAUAUUAUCAAUAUUAUUUUAUGUUAUAGAAAAUUUGAGAUAUACGUUGAUAGCAGACAGUAUAAUAAUUUGAUUUUGAUUGUGGUUCGUUGAUAUAUAUAUAUAUUUACGUAAAUUGAUAUUGAAAUGGGACAUAGGUCACUCUAGGUUAUGAUAUUAUAUUAAAAGGUUACUAUAUAAUUACAUACUCAACAUUAGAUUAAUUACUGCAUAAAAAACGACAAGAGCGAUAUUGAUGACAAUUUCGUUUAUCCAUUGGAAGAAAAUCGUAACAACGUUCUACAGAUUCCGACUUCGAACAGUGGAAACUCCUUAUCAGCAGCUGAACAAAGUGAAUCUAUGAUGAUACCUACAAACGAUAAUUCAGCUAUUCAAGUGGUACCCUCGUCCUCUCCCAUACCCCCUGCCCCAGCUGUAAGAAAAUCAGAUUCUGAUGAUGUCUUUGUUGGUGAAAAUGUUUGCGAAAGUCAUGAGCAUGGGGGGAAAAUGGCAUUAAACGAUGUGUUUGGUCUUGACGUUGAUUACAUGUUUGAGCUACUUUUUACAGAUUCACAGUUUUAUAGAGAUUUUUUAGCGUCUAGAAAGACAACUGAACUUAUACAGACGCCCUGGCCGGUGGAAUUUGACGAGGAUGGUUCUAAAUCAAGAUUAAUUACAUAUACACUAUCUCUCAAUUACAAGAUUGGACCUAAAUCUACAAAGACAACUGAAAAGCAAACGAUCCUUCCGGAAUCGAAGCCGGGUUCGCAUUAUAUUGUCGAUGCAGAAGUUCAUAAUUUGGAGGUUCCAUACGCUGACACUUUCUAUACGAUUACUAGAUUUUGCUUGCUCAAAGAAUCAAAUAACAAGACAAGACUAAAGGUGCAUUGUGAAGUAAAGUACAGAAAACAAGCAUGGGGACCAAUUAAGGUGGUUGUGGGUAAAUGUGCCCAACAGGGUUUGCCCGAAAAUUUUAAUCUUUUAGCCGUACAUUUAAGAAGAGAAGCUGAUAGGAAUCAUGGAUCGACGACGUCUAAUAAUAAUAAUAGCAUGAACAAUAGCACAAAGAAAAAAUUGAGAAAACGCCAUAAACAACAAAGCCAAUCAAUUGCUUCUAGCUUCGAACGACCUGCUCAUAUGGAUGCGUCAAGAUAUUCGAGUCAGCCUUUGGCAUUUUCUCUUAGUGCUAAUACUUUGGCUCUCUUCCUUUGCUUCAUAAUCAUCCUUCUGAUUUUCCUGAAUGUAUUCCUUUUCCUAAAGAUUAGUCAAUUGGAAAGUCAAACUUUACUUUUCUACAGGAAUAGCGAACCUAGUAUUAAAACUGACUGGCGCCAAUUGAUUGAUGAUGAAGAGAAUAUUUAUAAAACUCAAUCGGCAAAAUGGAAGAAAGUUUUGUCGUCAUCACUUUUAAUUUUAGAUCAAAUCAAAACGACUAUGCAAACUUUGUAUAAGCGUGUCGAAGAGAUUUGA
rnacentral:misc_RNA from 1 species